rnacentral:rRNA from 1 species
CUACGGGCGGCAGCAGUUAGGAAUAUUCUGCAAUGCGCGCAAGCGUGACAGAUUGAACCAGAGUGCUUUUCAACUGAAAAGCUUUUGUGGAAUGUAAAAAGUUCUACGAAUAAGGACUGGGUAAGACUAGUGCCAGCCGCCGCGGUAAUACUAGCGGUCCAAGUCGCAGCCAUUUUUAUUGGGUCUAAAACAUCCGUAGCUUGCUUGAUAAGUUUCCUGUGAAAUUUUAUGUCUUAAACAUGAAGCGGGCAGGAAGUACUGUCAAGCUAGAGACUGGAAGACGGAAAAAGUACGUUCAAAGUAGCGGUAAAAUGUUUUGAUCUUGAACGGACUCUCAAUAGCGAAGGCAUUUUCCGAGGACAGUUCUGACAGUAAGGGAUGAAGGCUAGGGGCGCAAAACGGAUUAGAUACCCCGGUAGUC